rnacentral:rRNA from 1 species
CACGUAGGGUGCAAGCGUUGUCCGGAAUCAUUGGGCGUAAAGAGCUCGUAGGCGGCUUAGUAAGUCGGGUGUGAAAACCCCAGGCUCAACCUGGGGACGCCACCCGAUACUGCUAUAGCUAGAGUCCAGUAGGGGAGUGUGGAAUUCCCAGUGUAGCGGUGAAGUGCGCAGAUAUUGGGAGGAACACCAGCGGCGAAGGCGGCACUCUGGGCUGGUACUGACGCUGAGGAGCGAAAGCGUGGGUAGCGAACAGG